UACGGAGGGUGCAAGCGUUAUCCGGAUUUAUUGGGUUUAAAGGGUGCGUAGGCGGUCUGGUAAGUCAGUGGUGAAAAUCUGCAGCUCAACUGUAGACCUGCCAUUGAAACUGUCAGACUUGAGUAACCAUGAGGUAGGCGGAAUGUGUAGUGUAGCGGUGAAAUGCUUAGAUAUUACACAGAACACCGAUUGCGUAGGCAGCUUACUAGCGGUUUACUGACGCUGAUGCACGAAAGCGUGGGGAUCAAACAGG
rnacentral:rRNA from 1 species